UACGUAGGUGGCAAGCGUUGUCCGGAUUUACUGGGCGUAAAGAGCGCGCAGGCGGUCGUUCAAGUCGCGUGUGAAAGCCCCCGGCUCAACUGGGGAGGGUCACGCGAUACUGAUCGACUCGAAGGCAGGAGAGGGUAGUGGAAUUCCCGGUGUAGUGGUGAAAUGCGUAGAGAUCGGGAGGAACACCAGCGGCGAAGGCGGCGACCUGGAUGAGUACUGACACUCAACUGCGAAAGCGUGGGGAGCAAACAGG
rnacentral:rRNA from 1 species